CCCUUAGAUGUUCUGGGCCGCACGCGCGCUACACUGAUGCAUUCAACGAGUUUCUUCCUGGUCCGAGAGGAAUGGGUAACCUUUUGAAAGUGCAUCGUGAUAGGGAUAGACUAUUGCAAUUAUUGGUCUUCAACGAGUAAUUCCUAGUAGACGUAGUUCAUCAGACUGCAUCGAUUACGUCCCUGCCCUUUGUACACACCGCCCGUCGCUCCUACCGAUUGAAUGCUCAGGUGAGCCAUUCGGACCUUCAUCAUGCCGGUUUCCGGUUUUGAUGAGGGAAAGUCUUGCGAACCUUAUCAUUUAGAGGAAGGAGAAGUCGUAACA
rnacentral:rRNA from 1 species